GAUUCUUACUACCACGUGUCGACGCCUACUUGAGCAAUGAAAAAAAAAAAAAAAAUUGCGCGUUUUUUUCUUUCUUUCUUCUUCCUCUCUCUCUCGAUGCCUCCUCUCGUUAUCUCCGAUGGAGAAAACGGAAAACACCAUAGCCGCCAUUAUUUUACUCUAGCUCUUCCUCUUCCUACUCUGAUUGAUGCUCCAUAGUUUUAUGUCUGAUUUUAAAGAAAACAAAAAUUGGGAUAAGAGAAACCGAAUCGAUUGGGGGUAAGAUAUUCAAUUUCUUGUUUUAUUGAAUUGAUUUUCAGUCGAUGUAUGUCGUACAGAUCUGCUGUUGUGAACUAUUUCUAAUUAUUCACAACUGAUGCAUUUCAUAAUUGAUUUUCAAUUGAAAUUAUCUGCUGUUGUGAAUUUUUUAGGGGUUUCUCUGUAAAUUUCCUAGGAUUUUUUUGCUCGAUGUUGUUGUGGAUUGAUUGAUGCAUAAAUCUGGUUUAUUUGUUCGAUUCUUGUAGUAUUAUUUUUGUUUUGACUUUUUGGAUUAUUAACCCCACAAAUGAUAUCAAAUUUGAUCUUAAAGGUGAGAAGGUGAGAAUCCAAUGUAUGAGAGCACAAGAGCUGAGCUUGGUCUGGUUGUUCUGUAUUUGAACAAAACGGAGACGAGAGACAAACUUUAUGGUGCUUGCAGUGGCAGUUUACAAUCACUACAAGAAGAUAUAUCACGAAUCAGCACAUAAACGGUUCGUUUAUGUCCCAAGAUAAGGCAAACAAUGCUCUUCUCAUUCACAUUAGGAAGACGAUCCCACUCACAAACAGAAGGGGAAAACCUCAGUUCUGUCCAUUUUGCCUUUCAAAUUCUGUUUUGCUUGUAAAACAAGUUCUUUUUUUUUUAAAUGUAAUGCUAAGAAACUUACCAUUGGAGGAAUAAAUUUUACAAAAUCUUUAAAAAGUUUUUAGUAAGUAAAUUUGUAUUUUUGGUGA